rnacentral:rRNA from 1 species
GAGUUUGAUCCUGGCUCAGGACGAACGCUGGCGGCGUGCUUAACACAUGCAAGUCGAACGAUGAAGCCUAGCUUGCUGGGUGGAAGAGUGGCGAACGGGUGAGUAACACGUGAGUAACCUGCCCUUCACUCUGGGAUAAGCACUGGAAACGGUGUCUAAUACUGGAUACGACCCUUACAGGCAUCUGUUGGGGGUGGAAAGAUUUAUCGGUGAAGGAUGGGCUCGCGGCCUAUCAGGUUGUUGGUGAGGUAACGGCUCACCAAGCCUACGACGGGUAGCCGGCCUGAGAGGGUGACCGGCCACACUGGGACUGAGACACGGCCCAGACUCCUACGGGAGGCAGCAGUGGGGAAUAUUGCACAAUGGGCGCAAGCCUGAUGCAGCAACGCCGCGUGAGGGAUGACGGCCUUCGGGUUGUAAACCUCUUUUAGUAGGGAAGAAGCGUAAGUGACGGUACCUGCAGAAAAUGCACCGGCUAACUACGUGCCAGCAGCCGCGGUAA